rnacentral:pre_miRNA from 1 species
AUCACCUGGGGAUCUUGUUAAAAUGCAGAUUCAGGUUUGUGAGGCCUGAGGUGGGGCCUGACAGUCUGUAUUUUUAACAAGCUCCCAAGUGAUGCUAG